GACGAACGCUGGCGGCGUGCUUAACACAUGCAAGUCGAACGGAAAGGCCCUGCUUUUGUGGGGUGCUCGAGUGGCGAACGGGUGAGUAACACGUGAGUAACCUGCCCUUGACUUUGGGAUAACUUCAGGCAACUGGGGCUAAUACCGGAUAGGAGCUCCUGCUGCAUGGUGGGGGUUGGACAGUUUCGGCGGUUGGGGAUGGACUCGCGGCUUAUCAGCUUGUUGGUGGGGUAGUGGCUUACCAAGGCUUUGACGGGUAGCCGGCCUGAGAGGGUGACCGGCCACAUUGGGACUGAGAUACGGCCCAGACUCCUACGGGAGGCAGCAGUGGGGAAUAUUGCACAAUGGGCGGAAGCCGGAUGCAGCAACGCCGCGUGCGGGAUGACGGCCUUCGGGUUGUAAACCGCUUUCGCCUGUGACGAAGCGUGAGUGACGGUAAUGGGUAAAGAAGCACCGGCUAACUACGUG
rnacentral:rRNA from 1 species